AGUCCCGGCUCUGCCUUGGCAGUCCCCUGCCCAGCUCCUGACCCAGUUCUACAAGGGCUGUGGGCGAACACCCUCCCGUCUGGUGUGUUGAAGCCCCAGAACUGGAGACCUUUGGAUCAGCGCGAAGCCAGGCCUGGUAUAAUUGAGAUAAAAAUUUGGUGUUUUGAUAUUUGCCUACACCCUUGAAACCAUCACCACAAUCAAGAUAAUAAAUAUCCAUCACCGAAAAGAUUCCUCUUCAUAACCCUUCCUCUCCCUGCUUCACCAGCUUGCUUCCCACAAAACCUAAGUGUUGACUUCAGCCAGAGGUCACUGGAAGGAUGUGUCAGCAGAGGCCGGGACUGCCUCCCCCCUGGAAUUCUGUGGAGAAUCCCAGUUUUGAUCAGGACGGCAAUGUGCCCAACUCAAAGUCCUCGCUUCUCCCGGAUCCUAUGCAACUGAGAGUGGCCUGGUGACCCAGUGCUGGCCAGUGAGAUGUAAGGUGAAAGUCACUGGGCAGGGUCUGCUCUCCCCUAGGGCACUGCCGUGCCCAUCAGCCUGAGAACAGCAGGACGCGAUGCCUCAUAUACAGGAGACCCCAGUCCUGAGGACGUAAGCCCUCUGAGAAAGGACAGAGAGGAAGAAGGGCUGCAUCGCUGAUCAGCUGUCCUGCCCUGGACCACUGCCUUGUCUGUGUGCUUUAAGCCAGUACUGGUCGGGGGACCAUUACCUAUAGCCAGAGCAUGCCUGGAUGAGGCAAGGCACCUGGAAUGACUAAACGCCCUUCCUAUCCUCUUACUCCCACAUUCUGAUGUUACUGUUCUGCGGCAGAGAGGUGGCCUCAAUGAUGGAGGUGCAUUUGGGAAUUGUUGAGACCGCUCCACGGCACAAUGCACGGUCAGUUCUUGUGCGUGUCCCACGUACGUCUGAAACGAUGUGUCUCCUCUGGACCUUUUGUUGUUGUUGUUGCUGUGUUGUUGCUGCUGCUAGGGCAGGGACAGGAUCAUGUAUCACACACAUACAGCUAUUUUUUUGAGAGUUGGAUGGAUGAAUGGGUGGAGGGAUGAAUGGGUGGAGGGAU